AGAGUUUGAUCAUGGCUCAGGAUGAACGCUAGCGGCAGGCUUAAUACAUGCAAGUCGUGGGGCAGCAGGGGUGUAGCAAUACAUCUGCUGGCGACCGGCAAACGGGUGCGUAACACGUACGCAACCUUCCCGUUACUGUGGCAUAGCCCAGGGAAACUUGGAUUAAUACCACAUAUUAUAUUGAGGGGGCAUCCUCUUGAUAUCAAAGCUUCGGCGGUAACGGAUGGGCGUGCGGUUGAUUAGGUAGUUGGCGGGGUAACGGCCCACCAAGCCUACGAUCAAUAGCUGAUGUGAGAGCAUGAUCAGCCACACGGGCACUGAGACACGGGCCCGACUCCUACGGGAGGCAGCAGUAAGGAAUAUUGGGCAAUGGACGAAAGUCUGACCCAGCCAUGCCGCGUGAAGGAUUAAGGUCCUCUGGAUUGUAAACUUCUUUUCUCUGGGGCGAAAAACAGCUAUUCUUAGUUGCUUGACAGUACCAGAGGAAUAAGCACCGGCUAACUCCGUGCCAGCAGCCGCGGUAAUACGGAGGGUGCAAGCGUUAUCCGGAUUCACUGGGUUUAAAGGGUGCGUAGGUGGGCCAGUAAGUCAGUGGUGAAAUCCCCGAGCUUAACUCGGGAACUGCCGUUGAUACUAUUGGUCUUGAAUAUCGUGGAGGUAAGCGGAAUAUGUCAUGUAGCGGUGAAAUGCUUAGAUAUGACAUAGAACACCGAUUGCGAAGGCAGCUUGCUACACGGUCAUUGACACUGAGGCACGAAAGCGUGGGGAUCAAACAGGAUUAGAUACCCUGGUAGUCCACGCCCUAAACUAUGGAUACUCGACAUCAGCGAUACACAGUUGGUGUCUGAG
rnacentral:rRNA from 1 species